GGGCUGGGGCUCAGUGGUAGAGCAUGCACCUAGCAUGUGCGAGGCAUUGGGUUCGAUCCUCAGCACCCCA
rnacentral:tRNA from 1 species